rnacentral:rRNA from 1 species
CAAUAGCGUAUAUUAAAGUUGUUGCAGUUAAAAAGCUCGUAGUUGGAUUUCUGGUGGGAGCGAUCGGUCUGGCGCUUAGCGCGAGUACUUGCAUCGUCUCCGGCCAUCCUUGGGGAGAGUCUGUCUGGCAUUAGGUUGUCGGGCAGGGGAGCCUCAUCGUUUACUGUGAAAAAAUUAGAGUGUUCAAAGCAGGCUUAUGCCGUUGAAUAUAUUAGCAUGGAAUAAUAAGAUAGGACUUUGGUACUAUUUUGUUGGUUUGCGCACCAAAGUAAUGAUUAAUAGGGACAGUUGGGGGUAUUCGUAUUCCGUUGUCAGAGGUGAAAUUCUUGGAUUUACGGAAGACGAACUACUGCGAAAGCAUUUACCAAGGAUGUUUUCAUUAA